UAAAAGGUACGCCGGGGAUAACAGGCUGAUCGCAUCCAAGAGUUCACAUCGACGAUGCGGUUUGGCACCUCGAUGUCGGCUCAUCACAUCCUGGGGCUGAAGCAGGUCCCAAGGGUACGGCUGUUCGCCGUUUAAAGUGGUACGCGAGCUGGGUUUAAAACGUCGUGAGACAGUUUGGUCCCUAUCUUCCGUGGGCGUAGGAGACUUGAGAGGGCCUGUCCCUAGUACGAGAGGACCGGGAUGGACGAUCCACUAGUGUCCCUGUUGUGACGCCAGUUGCAGCGCAGGGUAGCUAUGAUCGGAAGGGAUAACCGCUGAAAGCAUCUAAGCGGGAAGCCUGCCUCGAGAUUAGGUCUCCCCUCAUCUUCGGAUGACUGAAGGUCCCUGGGAGACUACCAGGUUGAUAGGCCGGAGGUGUAAGCACAGCAAUGUGUUCAGCUGACCGGUACUAAUAGACCGUGAGUCUUAACAACAA
rnacentral:rRNA from 1 species